rfam:TPA: Bos taurus chromosome 25, whole genome shotgun sequence.
UCCCUGGUGGCUCAGAUAGUAAAGAAUCUGCUUGCAAUGCAGGAAACCCAGGUUAAAUCCCUGGGUCGGGAA